GCGUUAGCUUCUGCAGCGCAUUACACUAAAUUUGGACCCAUGUAGAGAUUAGCAUGGCUCCUGCGCAAGGAUGACAAGCAAACUCAAAGAGGUUUUUUGUGUUUUG
rnacentral:snRNA from 1 species